rnacentral:lncRNA from 1 species
GAAUGUGUGAAGCGUCUUCUCUAGAAGAAACUAGUACAGCCAGGUCAUCGUCACUCCAUGUAAGAUGGUAAUUGCAGCAGUCAGUGCUCAGCUUGACGUUCUGACACAGGACUAAGGUAUGGGCUCCAUUUCUGCAUAGGUAACUCAUUGGCCUACUGAACCAGUAAGUGACACUCAUGGACCAGUAAGUGACACAGUUACUUUUAUUCUCUUGUGGGCUGAGCUCAACAUGUGAUCUAGAAAACAAUCGAAAAGCUAACAUCAAGGACUGGGAGUUCUGCUGAGGAAAUGAGUUCCUGUCCCAGAACUCAUGCUUUGUUUUGUGAAGAUGGAAAAACAUCUGUA